AUCUGCUUAAGCAAAUUAAAAUUAUUUUAUUUUGCUUAUUUAAUUAAAAAUAUAAAAUAUUUUAAUUACAAAAAAAUAAAAAUAAAUAAUAUUAUAUUAAUUAAUAAAGGGAACCCUAUCAAUUAGUGGCGGCAAUAUAAUGAUAAGCUUUUUGGCUUGGGGGGAAUGAAAACCUUAAAAUUAAAAAUUCCCUCCUUACAGCCGCUACUGAUUCAUUCUCACUCAUGAUUCAUUCAGUUUUCAAUUUCUGUCCACUAUCAAAAGGAGAAGCUCCCACUAUCAAAUCCAAUCAGAAGCAAACAUCAUGGCUCGACGAUGCAAGUUGCGGAAAGGGAAUUCCAUCAAUAUUAACUUGGAAAAUGAGACUGAAAAUAAUGUUAACCAGAACUUUCAAGAAACUCAAGAGUUAUACCAAAAUCAGGCUUCAAAUUUUCAAGGGAAUACUAGUCAGAAGACAAUGAGGUAUCAUUAUGAAGGUCAUUUUAUAUUUUCACCAAAUAGAAUAUAUGAAAAUGGUAGGUUCAUGGAGAAACCUAAUUUUGAUGUUGAUUUCAUCUCAUUUUUUGAUAUAUUGGAUGACUUGAAAA